UAUUCUGCCCCACGGGGAAGGAUGAGAAGCUUCGACUAAGGUUCGACUCGAGCGAAGCGAGAGAACGUUGCCGCAGGCAACGGCCCGAAGGGCGAGGCGCUUUAGCGCCGAGUAAUCCUUCCCCCACCACUA
rnacentral:sRNA from 1 species